GCCUGGGUGGCUCAGUCAGUUAAGCAUCCAACUUUCACUUAGGUCAUGAUCUCAUGACUUGUGGGUUCAAGCCCCACAUCAGGCU
rnacentral:tRNA from 1 species